UGCAAGUCGAGCGGGAUGAGAGGAGCUUGCUCUUCGAUUCAGCGGCGGACGGGUGAGUAAUGCCUAGGAAUCUGCCUAGUAGUGGGGGACAACGUUUCGAAAGGAACGCUAAUACCGCAUACGUCCUACGGGAGAAAGUGGGGGAUCUUCGGACCUCACGCUAUUAGAUGAGCCUAGGUCGGAUUAGCUAGUUGGUGGGGUAAAGGCCUACCAAGGCGACGAUCCGUAACUGGUCUGAGAGGAUGAUCAGUCACACUGGAACUGAGACACGGUCCAGACUCCUACGGGAGGCAGCAGUGGGGAAUAUUGGACAAUGGGCGAAAGCCUGAUCCAGCCAUGCCGCGUGUGUGAAGAAGGCCUUCGGGUCGUAAAGCACUUUAAGUUGGGAGGAAGGGCUCA
rnacentral:rRNA from 1 species